AUGGACGAUGCGGCGGCGGCCGAACCCGAGCCCAAGAAGCUGAGGCAGGACGAGCAAGAGCCUCCGGCGAGCAGGGAGGGUGACGGAGACGGCGAAGAGAAGCUCGACCACAUCAGCCGCAUGCCCGACGACAUCCUCGGCAGCGUCAUCUCCCUCCUCUCCACCAAGGAGGCCGCGCGGACACGCCUUCUCUCCUCGCGGUGGCGCCACCUCUGGCGCUCCGCCCCGCUCAACCUCGUCGUCGACCGCCGCCUCUCGGGACGGGAGCGCGACCGUGUCGCCAUCGUCUCCAAGAUCCUUGCCACGCACCACGGCCCUGCUUGCCGCUUCUCCCUCGCCAUCGGCGCCAUCCGCCUGCGCCGCGACCUCUACGCCAAGUUCGACGGCUGGUUCCGGUCCCCCGCGCUCGAUGGCCUCGAGGAGCUCCAAUUCUACGGGGGCUGCAAUCCGCUGCCGCCGUCCGCGCUCCGCUUGGCGCCCACGCUGCGUGUCGCCAGCUUCCGCGACUGUGGUUUCCCCGACGUUGCUGCUGUCCCCGCGCUCCGUCUCCCUCGGCUGAAGCACCUCAAGCUCCCCGGCGUCGCCAUUUCGGAGGAAGCCCUCCUCCACCUGCUCGCCGGCUGCACUGCGCUCGAGAGCCUUGAGCUUCAGGGCAACGGGCUCAGCACUGUCCGGAUCGUCUCGCCGACUCUUCGGAAUAUCGCUGUCUAUGUAUCUUACUACCACAAAUCAGACGUGGUGCUUCAGGAGCUUGUCAUUGAGGAUGCACCGUGCCUUGAAAGAUUGAUCCCACUUGAUUCAGGGGAUGUCCCAAUGACAAUCACGGUUAUCGCGGCACCCAAGCUAACGGUAUUGGGCUACCUGUCUAGCCAAAUCUACGAACUUGUGAUUGGAACCAUAAUUGUUAAGGAAAUGAUCCCCGUCAGCUUGACCGCGCCAAUGCGCACAGUGAAGGUGUUGGUCCUAGAAUCCAUCGGCCCCAACCUGGAUACAAUUGCUCGAUUUCUUAGAUGCUUUCCUUGCAUGGAAAAGCUAUACAUCCAGUCACGUUUUAGGAAGGAUAUGAAAAAUGUGGGUCCAUAUGACAUACUCAUUGAUCCUAUUGAAUGCCUCAGUCUCCAUCUAAGUGCAAUCGUAAUAAACACCUAUCGAGGCAUGCAGCCAGAUGUUAACUUUGCCAAGUUCUUUGUUCUGAAUGCAAAGGUGCUAAAGGUAAUGAAAUUUGGUGUCUGUGGUACAUAUAAUGAGAAAUGGAUGGCUAAUCAGCAGAGACGGCUACAACUAGACAAGAGGGCUUCUAGAGAUGCUCGAUUUGAUUUUGAAAGAGAUGUUGGUGGGUGUUGGUUUUCCAAUAAGAAGCACACACAUGAUUUGUGGAUAGCUGAUCCAUUUGAUAGCUCGUUAUGCAAUUGUUGUUAA
rnacentral:rRNA from 1 species